rnacentral:rRNA from 1 species
CUUUUACAAUGAAGAGUUUGAUCCUGGCUCAGGAUGAACGCUAGCUACAGGCUUAACACAUGCAAGUCGAGGGGCAUCGAGAUGUAGCAAUA